UCAGCCGUGUGCUCAUCCGAUAUCGGCAGGUACCUGUCACGGGUGUCUCCUCCAAUAGUUUUGAACUUCACCCCUGAACAAGUGCAGAAUCCUAAAAACCUGAUAGAAUGUUUGAGAGUCGUAUGCCCUGACCCUGACAAUGCCGGAGAACGACAGCUUGCAGCACUGUGCUAGGUCCUGGCUUACUCCUAUCAAACACUGUUUAACAUCAUCCAGCACCUUGAAGAGAGGGAAGAAGUCUCUGAAUCUGAUG